GACGAACGCUGGCGGCGUGCUUAACACAUGCAAGUCGAACGGAAAGGCCCUGCUUUUGUGGGGUGCUCGAGUGGCGAACGGGUGAGUAACACGUGAGUAACCUGCCCUUGACUUUGGGAUAACUUCAGGAAACUGGGGCUAAUACCGGAUAGGAGCUCCUGCUGCAUGGUGGGGGUUGGAAAGUUUCGGCGGUUGGGGAUGGACUCGCGGCUUAUCAGCUUGUUGGUGGGGUAGUGGCUUACCAAGGCUUUGACGGGUAGCCGGCCUGAGAGGGUGACCGGCCACAUUGGGACUGAGAUACGGCCCAGACUCCUACGGGAGGCAGCAGUGGGGAAUAUUGCACAAUGGGCGGAAGCCUGAUGCAGCAACGCCGCGUGCGGGAUGACGGCCUUCGGGUUGUAAACCGCUUUCGCCUGUGACGAAGCGUGAGUGACGGUAAUGGGUAAAGAAGCACCGGCUAACUACGUGCCAGCAGCCGCGGUGAUACGUAGGGUGCGAGCGUUGUCCGGAUUUAUUGGGCGUAAAGGGCUCGUAGGUGGUUGAUCGCGUCGGAAGUGUAAUCUUGGGGCUUAACCCUGAGCGUGCUUUCGAUACGGGUUGACUUGAGGAAGGUAGGGGAGAAUGGAAUUCCUGGUGGAGCGGUGGAAUGCGCAGAUAUCAGGAGGAACACCAGUGGCGAAGGCGGUUCUCUGGGCCUUUCCUGACGCUGAGGAGCGAAAGCGUGGGGAGCGAACAGGCUUAGAUACCCUGGUAGUCCACGCUGUAAACGGUGGGUACUAGGUGUGGGGUCCAUUCCACGGGUUCCGUGCCGUAGCUAACGCUUUAAGUACCCCGCCUGGGGAGUACGGCCGCAAGGCUAAAACUCAAAGGAAUUGACGGGGCCCCGCACAAGCGGCGGAGCAUGCGGAUUAAUUCGAUGCAACGCGUAGAACCUUACCUGGGUUUGACAUGGAUCGGGAGUGCUCAGAGAUGGGUGUGCCUCUUUUGGGGUCGGUUCACAGGUGGUGCAUGGCUGUCGUCAGCUCGUGUCGUGAGAUGUUGGGUUAAGUCCCGCAACGAGCGCAACCCUUGUUCACUGUUGCCAGCACGUUAUGGUGGGGACUCAGUGGAGACCGCCGGGGUCAACUCGGAGGAAGGUGGGGAUGACGUCAAGUCAUCAUGCCCCUUAUGUCCAGGGCUUCACGCAUGCUACAAUGGCUGGUACAGAGAGUGGCGAGCCUGUGAGGGUGAGCGAAUCUCGGAAAGCCGGUCUCAGUUCGGAUUGGGGUCUGCAACCCGACCUCAUGAAGUCGGAGUCGCUAGUAAUCGCAGAUCAGCAACGCUGCGGUGAAUACGGUCCCGGGGCU
rnacentral:rRNA from 1 species